UCUCCGUUGGUGAACCAGCGGAGGGAUCAUUACAGAGUUGCAAAACUCCCAAACCAUUGUGAACGUUACCUAUCCCGUUGCUUCGGCGGGCGGCCCGGGCCCCGUGCCCGGCGCCCCCCGGCCCCCCGUGGGCGCCCGCCGGAGGUAAACCAAACUCUUUCUGUAGUCCCCUCGCGGACGUUAUUUCUUACAGCUCUGAGCAAAAAUUCAAAAUGAAUCAAAACUUUCAACAACGGAUCUCUUGGUUCUG
rnacentral:misc_RNA from 1 species